rnacentral:lncRNA from 1 species
UUUUUAUGAUGCAGUCAUGUGCAUUUUUUAAGACUAAGAAUUAGACACCUUUGUGCUUGAAGUUAGGCAUGACCGUGACUCAUUCAGCUGUCACUCUAACAGACUUGGUGUGAGAACCAUAUGGAUGGGAAGAAGUAACCUAGACUCAAGAUGCAAGUUCACGGAUUGCGAGACGGGAGGCCAAACACAGAAACAGCAUCUGACAAAAGUGCUUUUUCAGCAGGAAGGGGCAAUCUGACAUCUUGUCUGAGAACAACCUGACUGGCCCUUGCUGGAUACUGGUUUGUAGAAGGCACUGAUGGAUGCUUCCCCCUGUGAAAGGAGGACCUCCCAUCAAUAACUUCUGGUCAGCAACUUCCAUGCCACACGGGCUCAUCUCAAAGGCUUAUGCCAUGAAGAGAAGAAGCACCACCAGUUUUGCAGAGUAUGGUCCUGGCAGGUGGAGAGAUGAAAGGCCUUUACAGGCAAUGAUCUACAGAGCAAAAGCAGAUCAUUACCUCAUGAAUGAGGUUCUGCUUUUUAAACAGUGA